CCUACGGGGGGCAGCAGUGAGGAAUAUUGGUCAAUGGCCGGAAGGCUGAACUAGCCAUGCCGCGUGAAGGUCAAUGCCCUAUGGGCGUUAAACUUCUUUUGUGCGGGAGCAAUAAUGGUCACGUGUGGCCAGACGAGAGUACCGUACGAAUAAGCAUCGGCUAACUCCGUGCCAGCAGCCGCGGUAAUACGGGGGAUGCAAGCGUUAUCCGGAUUUAUUGGGUUUAAAGGGUGCGUAGGCUGUGAGGUAAGUCAGCGGUGAAAUGCCCCCGCUCAACGGGGUGAAGUGCCAUUGAUACUGCGUGGCUGGAAUGCGGAUGCCGUGGGAGGAAUGUGUGGUGUAGCGGGGAAAUGCAUAGAUAUCACACAGAACACCGAUUGCGAAGGCAUCUCACGAAGCCGCGAUUGACGCUGAUGCACGAAAGCGUGGGUAUCAAACAGGAUUAGAGACCCGAGUAGUC
rnacentral:rRNA from 1 species